GUGCUCACUUCAGCAGCACAUAUACUAACAUUGGAAUGAUACAGAGAUUAGCAUGGCCCCUGCAGAAGGAUGGCAAACAAAUUCAUGAGGCAUUCCAUAUUAAA